GAUGAACGCUGGCGGCGUGCCUAACACAUGCAAGUCGAACGGACUUUUAAUGAAGCCUAGCGAUUUAAAAGUUAGUGGCGGACGGGUGAGUAACGCGUGGGUAACCUGCCGUAUACAGGGGGAUAACACUUAGAAAUAGGUGCUAAUACCGCAUAAGCGCACAGUUUCGCAUGGAACAGUGUGAAAAACUCCGGUGGUAUACGAUGGACCCGCGUCUGAUUAGCUAGUUGGUGAGGUAACGGCUCACCAAGGCGACGAUCAGUAGCCGGCCUGAGAGGGUGAACGGCCACAUUGGGACUGAGACACGGCCCAAACUCCUACGGGAGGCAGCAGUGGGGAAUAUUGCACAAUGGGGGAAACCCUGAUGCAGCGACGCCGCGUGAGUGAAGAAGUAUUUCGGUAUGUAAAGCUCUAUCAGCAGGGAAGAAAAAUGACGGUACCUGACUAAGAAGCUCCGGCUAAAUACGUG
rnacentral:rRNA from 1 species